AGGCAGGAGGCCAGCGGCCAGGACGACGCCAUGGUAUGACCCUGCUUUGCUCCUUCCCCACCAUGACCACACCAUGGAAGCAGCAGCAAGGUUCCUUGGUGGGUACAGCAGCAGCAGAAAGAGGACACCAUGGUGGGUACAGCGGCAGAAGCAGCAGCUCGAUGGACGCAUGGACGCCACCAUGGAAGCAUGAAUGUGCUUAUUUCUCCAUCCCUUUCCACUGGCAUGGGGUGGUAGCAUUGUUUACUGGAUGAUUACCAAUGGAGUCAUUUGGGCUAAGAAAAUGUACUGUCUUUUGAUCUCUGAUGCGACCAUUUCCUGAUAUUAAUUACUUAAUUAGUGAUCACAUGGUUUCCUUGUGUCAAAUUUAUGGAAGCUGCGGGGAUGGAGGCGGCAUUCGGGUCUGGAGAUGGCAUGAGAAGCAGAGCUCUUUCUGCCACUAUCUCUACAAAGAAAGUGUAGUCUGCAAGCUUAUCAAAUCUGGGUACUGUUUGUAGAAGUGCAGCACCAUGCAUCAGUGAGCUCCCUAAUUUGGCUAGAACAGAGGGCUAUUGUUCUUACUUAUUUACUGCCUGCUGAUCUCUCUCUCACUCCCAUUUUUUUCAAUUUAAUCCCUGGAUCUCAUUUUUGUGUGUGCAAUUAUCUGUACCUACAUGGUGCUAUGAAAAUUCAAGCGGGCUGAAGUAAAGAUUACUCUAUGUAAAAUUCAUGCUUCAAUGCCUACUCGGAAAUAUAUCCGUGCUUGGUAGUUUGAGACUACUGGUGUGAAGAUCUUGCUCCAAAUUCACAUGAUCUAAUUAGUGUUCUAUACAGAGUAACACUUUUGGGCUUUGGGUUGCCGCUGGAUCCGGACAAGAUAAGGCUUGCCUUACCUGGUGAAGUACUGGCUAGGAAGAGUGCAAGCUGCCGCCCACACAUACCAGAUGGUCCCGUCAAGGACGUUGUUGUACUGACUGCCGAUGAUCUACAGGUUGCUGGACAUGUUCUCUCUGCUUGCUUCCUGUUCAUUACAUUAAAUCCUUGAAGCUUUUCCUAAAAAAAUGGAUGCACACAAAUACUUCUGCUUCAGUUUUCUAUGGCUCAAGCCAUUUUUGUCGUUGUAUGACAAGGCUGUCGAUGUCAUCACUGAGCUGCCUUCUUUGCUUCAGAGGCUUAUUGUGCUGCUAUAGUUCUUUGUCUCUUAUCCACUCACCCAUUGUAGUGCAGCAAUUGCAAGCUCCACAUUCCCAUGGCUGCUCAUCCUCCGUAACUUUCUCUAGCUGAGCUCACGCCACCACUGCGGCACAACUCUCUUGUAGCUAUCGGGUGACCGCGUGUGUCGUUGCCACCACUAGCGAGAUCUGGGAGAAAGAGGAGGCAAAGAGGGAGAUGGAGCGGCAAGAAUAAAGGUAAAGGAAGGAGGAAGAGGAGACACCCUAAGCAUGCCGGUGACCUCCAGGCCCGCUACUACGACUUCUCCAAGCAACACCAAUCUACAACAGCAAGUGUCUCGAGCAAGAUGACCAAGUGUUGGUGGGUGGGCAUCAACAAGGUGGGCUGUCAGCACGGUGUUCGAGUUGGUCAGUAGUGGUGCACCUGCGCCAUGUAUGGAUCAAUACUCUAGGAGGUUCUGUCGAGGCCCAAUCCAUCCAGUUCAGAGCCAUUGUCAAAUUGAAUAACAACCGCCUUUUGGUCUUGGCCCAUAACCAGCCGUGAAAGACGAGAUGUUUAUGCUGCCCUUCUACCUUCCUCCCUGUCCCUACUUUUCCCCAUCGCGUGUUGGGCCCUCUGAAGUAAAAUAAACAUGAAACUACAUGCUAAAAAGUGGGUGAUAAAUAUCUAGUUACUAAAUUCACUAAAUUUGUGAUCCCAAAACUGUGAGCAAAAUAGUGAAAUGUCAGGGUUUACUCUACUGCAAAUUUGCAAUUUACUUGAACUUUGUUGUGAUGAGCAAUUCAGUUUCUUUGGGCAAAACGCCUGGCUAAACAAAUAAAUGCAUGUGCUUUUCAUGUUUUGUUCCCAGUAAGAAGCUGAUUCUGUAUCUUAUGUACUUGUUGUGAGCUACUUUUAACUCUGAUAAAGAAUGUACAUUGGAUUGUU